GUUCCUGUAGCUUAAACACUUCAAAGCACGGCCCUGAAGAUGCCACGAUGGGGCCACCCCAGAAACA
rnacentral:tRNA from 1 species